UACAGAGGGGGCAAGCGUUGUUCGGAAUUACUGGGCGUAAAGCGUGCGCAGGCGGUUUUGUAAGCCAGAUGUGAAAUCCCCGGGCUUAACCUGGGAAUGGCAUUUGGGACUGCAAGGCUUGAGUGCGGCAGAGGAGACUGGAAUUCCUGGUGUAGCAGUGAAAUGCGUAGAUAUCAGGAGGAACACCGAUGGCGAAGGCAGGUCUCUAGGCUGACACUGACGCUCAUGCACGAAAGCGUGGGGAGCAAACAGG
rnacentral:rRNA from 1 species